rnacentral:rRNA from 2 species
AAAGAUUAAGCCAUGCAUGUCUAAGUAUAAGCAAUUACAAAGCGAAACUGCGAAUGGCUCAUUAUAUAAGUUAUCGUUUAUUUGAUAGUACCUUACUACAUGGAUAACCGUGGUAAUUCUAGAGCUAAUACAUGCUGAAAAUCCCGACUUCGGAAGGGAUGUAUUUAUUAGAUACAAAACCAAUGCCCUUCGGGGCUCUCUUGGUGAUUCAUGAUAACUUCUCGAAUCGCACGGCCCCGCGCCGGCGAUGGUUCAUUCAAAUUUCUUCCCUAUCAACUUUCGAUGCUACGGUAUUGUCCUAGCAUGGUUG